GGCGAGGUAGCACACGGUGUGCGCCGGGUAGUAAUUACACUUACAUCCCGGGCGCUUGUUCGACUCAAGCUCUCGCCA